AUACGUAGGUGACAAGCGUUAUCCGGAUUUACUGGGCGUAAAGGGCGUGUAGGCGGUUUGGCAAGUCAGAAGUGAAAUUCCCGGGCUUAACUUGGGCGCUGCUUCUGAAACUGAUUAACUUCAGUGCGGGAGAGGAUAGUGGAAUUCCUAGUGUAGUGGUAAAAUGCGCAGAUAUUAGGAGGAACACCGGUGGCGAAGGCGGCUAUCUGGACAGUAACUGACGCUGAGGCGCGAAAGUGUGGGGAGCAAACAGGAUUAGAUCCCCUGGUAGUCCACACUGUAAACGAUGAAUGCUAGGUGUAGGAGGUAUCGACCCCUUCUGUGCCGCAGUAAACACAGUAAGCAUUCCGCCUGGGGAGUACGGUCGCAAGAUUAAAACUCAAAUGAAUUGACGGGG
rnacentral:rRNA from 1 species